rnacentral:rRNA from 1 species
CAUUGCCUACGGGGGGCAGCAGUGAGGAAUAUUGGUCAAUGGUCGGGAGACUGAACCAGCCAAGCCGCGUGAGGGAGGAAGGUACAGAGUAUCGUAAACCUCUUUUGUCAGGGAACAAAGACUGGGACGCGUCCCCGGAUGAGUGUACCUGAAGAAAAAGCAUCGGCUAACUCCGUGCCAGCAGCCGCGGUAAUACGGAGGAUGCGAGCGUUAUCCGGAUUUAUUGGGUUUAAAGGGUGCGCAGGCGGUCUGUUACGUCAGCGGUCAAAUCCCGGGGCUCAACCCCGGCCCGCCGUUGAAACUGG